rnacentral:rRNA from 1 species
CCUACGGUAGGCAGCAGUAGGGAAUAUUGCUCAAUGGUGGAAACCCUGCAGCAGCAACGCCGCGUGGAGGAUGACGGUUUUCGGAUUGUACACUCCUUUUGUUAGUGAAGAUAAUGACGGUAUCUAACGAAUAAGCAACGGCUAACACCUGGCCAGCAGCCGCGGUACUACGAAGGGUGCAAGCGUUACUCGGAAUCAUUGGGCGUAAAGAGCGCGGAGGCGGGAUAGAAAGUCAGAUGUGAAGUCCUAGGGCUUAACCAUAGAACUGCAUUUGAAACUGGUAUUCUAGAGUAUGGGAGAGGUAGGUGGAAUUCGUGGUGUAGGGGUAAAAUCCGUAGAGAUCAAGAGGAAUACUGAUUGCGAAGGCGACCUGCUAGAACAUAACUGACGCUGAUGCGCGAAAGCGUGGGGAGCAAACAGGAGUAGAUACCCGAGUAGUC